AGGAUGAACGCUGGCGGCGUGCCUAACACAUGCAAGUCGAACGUCCUGUCUCGCAAGAGGCAGGGAGUGGCGGACGGGUGAGUACCACGUGGGUCAUCUACCGUGAGGUGAGGAAUACCGGCGAGAAAUCGCCGACAAGACCGCAUAGGCUCGAUGCAAGUCGAGCAAAGCUCUUUCGAGAGAGGGAGCGCCACACGAGGAGCCUGCGCCCGAUUAGCUAGCUGGUGGAGUAACGGUUCACCAGGGCGACGAUCGGUAGCUGGUCUGAGAGGACGAUCAGCCACACUGGGAUUGAGAACGGCCCAGACUCCUACGGGGGGCAGCAGUGAGGAAUUUUCGUCAAUGGGGGCAACCCUGAACGAGCAACGCCGCGUGCAGGAAGAAGGUUUCGGAUCGUAAACUGCUUUUCUCGGGAAGAGAACGGACGGUACCCGAGGAAUCGAGCCCCGGCUAACUACGCGCCAGCAGCCGCGGU
rnacentral:rRNA from 1 species